CCUACGGGGCGCAGCAGUGGGGAAUAUUGCACAAUGGGGGAAACCCUGAUGCAGCGACGCCGCGUGAGUGAAGAAGUAUUUCGGUACGUAAAGCUCUAUCAGCAGGGAAGAAAAUGACGGUACCUGACUAAGAAGCCCCGGCUAACUACGUGCCAGCAGCCGCGGUAAUACGUAGGGGGCAAGCGUUAUCCGGAUUUACUGGGUGUAAAGGGAGCGUAGACGGCAGUGCAAGUCUGGAGUGAAAUCCCAUGGCUUAACCAUGGAACUGCUUUGGAAACUGGGCAGCUAGAGUGCAGGAGAGGUAAGCGGAAGUCCUAGUGUAGCGGUGAAAUGCGUAGAUAUUAGGAGGAACACCAGUGGCGAAGGCGGCUUACUGGACUGUAACUGACGUUGAGGCUCGAAAGCGUGGGGAGCAAACAGGAUUAGAUACCCUAGUAGUC
rnacentral:rRNA from 1 species